rnacentral:rRNA from 1 species
AACGAACGCUGGCGGCAGGCCUAACACAUGCAAGUCGAGCGAAGCCUUCGGGCUUAGCGGCGGACGGGUGAGUAACGCGUGGGAACGUGCCCUUUGGUACGGAAUAGCCCCGGGAAACUGGGAGUAAUACCGUAUGUGGUCGAGAGACGAAAGAUUUAUCGCCAAAGGAUCGGCCCGCGUUGGAUUAGGUAGUUGGGGGGGUAAUGGCCUACCAAGCCGACGAUCCAUAGCUGGUUUGAGAGGAUGAUCAGCCACACUGGGACUGAGACACGGCCCAGACUCCGACGGGAGGCAGCAGUGGGGAAUCUUAGACAAUGGGGGAAACCCUGAUCUAGCCAUGCCGCGUGAUCGAUGAAGGCCUUAGGGUUGUAAAGAUCUUUCAGUGGGGAAGAUAAUGACUGUACCCACAGAAGAAGCCCCGGCUAACUCCGUGCCAGCAGCCGCGGUAACAC